UGUGGGAAAUGAGUCAGACAGCCAUAAAAUGGUGUUUUUCUGAGCCGAGGGGAUUAUUUUACAUCUCGUGGCAUGAAGACACUGAGAGGGAGCCCCCCUCCUGGUCCCUGGCGGGGCUCCCUGCCUGCCGGCCGGGGCGCCACAGCCCCCUCCUUCCCUGAGCUGGGGGCUGUCGCCCUCCCACCAGGACGGCCUCGGUGGGCUGGGGUCACAGAUCCAGGGACAGCCUGGGGCCCAGGGGACGGAUGUCGCCCGCGAGGAGAGACUGCUGGCAGCCCGAGGCAGGGCAGACGUCGGAACCAGUGUGGGAUCUGAAGCACAUUGGCCCAUCCCAGAAACCGAGCACGUUCCUCCACCGGCGUCGGGAACUUGCUUUCUCCUUUGGAAGCGACGGUAAAGAAGGCUCAUCCUGCACAGGUUCCGCUUCUUCCCAGGGCCGGUGGCCGGUACACUGGACACCAGCUCUGCCUCCUGCCUCGUUCUCUCUCAUUCCAGCAACAGCACCCCGAUUUCCCUCGGAGAACCUCCCCUCCCCGGCUCCCAUUCCAUGCAGUGCAGGUGGGGCCCACCCUCUUCCAAACUGUGUGCUGGGAGUGGGGGGCAGGAAGGACAUGACUCAGGAUUGGCCAUUUGGCCUCCUCCAUCCUCCUGGGUCCAGUGGCUGGUCCAGGGAUGAGCCUAUGGUCCAACAGAACCCAAUUCCAGGACUUCAGAUGAAACGGCUCAGAAGCUGGAGCUCUGUUCUGGGUUGCCGGGUGUCAGCUGGGAGGCUUUGUGUUACUGGAAACUUCCAACAGGAGACCGAGCUGGCACAAAGGAUGGCAAAACCAGGAGCCGGAGUGACAGAGGACUCUCGAUGACAUUGUCUGGCUGAUGGAUCCAGCCAUGCCUGAAGCCACACCCCUCAUGGUUUGUUUUCCUGGUUGCACUCAGCUCUAUGCCUGGGCCCCGGCCACAGAGGCAGGAAUUUUGGUGAGAUGUGCCAGGAUCACGUGCUCCUGGCUGCUUAGGCCAUGCAGGCUGGGACUCUACAAGCGUGGAUGACCGGUUACCUAGAGCUGAGGCCUAGCCCGGCAGGAGGGCCCAGCACACAGCUGGGCUCACUGACCACAGAAGCCUGGAUGUGUGGGUGAGAGGGGGUCAGGGGAGACCCACCCUAGGUGUGGCUCCCUGAGGAGACCACCCUCCAGGGUGAAUUUGGGAGCAGACUUCAUGGGAAGCAGCUUAUGGUUUUCCAAUGAUUAAAUUUAGAAAAAGAACCCACCUGGCCGUCCUUUGCCUCCUUCUUUCUGUCUGUCUAACAGGCACCUGGACCCAUCCAGGGGGCUAAGAAUGGUGGAGAAUCGGCUGAUUUUGUCUGGUGUUCGUCAGCAUUCCUAGCACUGGAAUGUAAGCUCCAGGAGGGCAGAAGUUGUGCCGGGGGUGGCUCGUCGCUGUGGCCCUGAGCGAAGGUGGCCCCAGCACUCAGUCACUAUCUGGUGAUUGAAGGAAGUCUGGUAUUCUCAUUCACCUGCUUGGAACCCUCCUAUGGCUUCCCAUUGCAGUUAAGACACAUGAAACCUAGAUUUCUCCUUCAGUGCCCUAGAAGUAGGGUAACUGUGUCAUUUAUUAAGCCAUCAGAGACACUUUCUGUGAGUCAAAAGGGAUGCUGUAGACGAUUAUGCUGGAACAGUGGGAGCAAACGAGGACAGUCUCCAAGCAAACCAGGCAGGGGGCCCGCCCCACUCCAAGGCCCCCAGGAGCUGGUCUCUGGCCCUCCGCCUCAUCCAGCCACGCUGGCCUUCCCCUGGGACUUUGCUCUGUUCCUUUACCUAGAGAGAAGCCUUUUGAGUGCCUGGAUCUUUCUCAUCACCUUGGUCUCCACUGAGCACUGGCUCCUCCGGGACCUUCCCUGACCACCCACCUACCCAGGCAACCUCUGCCAUUGGGUCAAGUUUCAUUUUCCUCCCCGAGCUCAGCUCUGUGCCUGAGGUCCCAGCCCGGAGGCAGGCGGGGAGUGAGAGGGAACGAGCCCACAGGCCUUGGGAACACAGAUCUCUGGCAUCUGUCAACCCCCGAGUAGACGCUUGUGUUCUCAGCUCCCAUCUCCAAAGUGAAAGUGAAGGGAAGCACACUUCCCCUCAGGAGGUGGGGACGCAAAAGGCGGAGGGGAGGGAAAGAAUGGAGCUUGGCAGGCAAGCGAGUCGGGGUCCUUCCUGGAACCACGCACAGCACCGGGCACCCCAGAAAUCAGACGCCCUUGACCUGAAUCACUCGGACAUGUCUUUUAAGAUGUGUUUGGAACCAGAACUCGAAUGCAGAUGCCAAACAGCACCCCAGCAGACGCACACCCGGAUCGUGUGGCCAGAUAGAAGACACCAGCUAUGUUUAUAAUUUGCCUAAUUACCUCUGUCCUCUCUGAUACUGGGGCUCUAUAAAAUUGUCACAGCCGUGUUUGU